GAAGCAGGCAGAGAGAGGAGGAAGCAGGCUCCCAGCUGAGCAGAGAGCCCGCCGCAGGGUUCAAUCCCUGGACCCUUGGAUCACAACUUGAGCUGAAAGCAGAGGCUUAACCCACUGAGCCACCCAGGUGCCUCGAAGCUUGCUUUUAAAAUAAAUGCAUAUAAGUUCAUUUAGAGGAAAUUGGGAAGACUAGUCCCAGGCUAGUCACCCAAGGACUAAAGGCAGAGACAACAGUGUGUCUGGCUAAUUAACGGAUAGGACACUACCUUUUGUACAUCUGGGGCUACAUGGCUGCUCACAUGGGUUCCCCACUGAGUGACUGAAUGUGCUUGACUCCAAGGUUGUGGCAGGCCAGGGUUGCGGCAGGCUUUUUUUCACUCCUUAUCCCCGCCGUCCAGGGAAGGGACAUCACCACUCCUUCAAGACUCAGCCCAGGAGCCACAUGGCCUCCCCACCCGCAGAUUUUUAAAUUUAUUUAUUUGAGAGAGAGAGAGAGCAACGAGCAGAGCAGAGGGAGAAGCCGGCUUUCCACCCAGACAGACACUGGGGAGCCAGACACGGGGCUCGAUCGUGGAACUCUGGGAUCAAGACCAAGCCAAAGGCAGACGCUUAACUGACUGAGCCACCCAGGUGCCCCGGUAUUCUUUUCCUUUAACGUGCCCCCCCAGGUUUGUAAUGUGGGUCCCGCAAAACCCAGAUCUGCAUGAGGUGCCUAUUGGAAAUGCAGAUAUACAGACUCACCUCCAAACUACCCAAUCCCAGGCCCUGGGAGACAUUCCCGGCUCACCAAAAUUUGAGUAUGGCUAUGCUCUCGGUUCCCACCCUACCCCGGUGCUAGGGGAUUGGAUUCAGAGCUCCCAAGAGAGUCCCUGUUGUGGUGUAUUCUCCCCUCCUCUUGCUGGAAAGCGGUGGAUUCCAGUAGGAGGAGUUUCCUGAGUUCUGAGAAGUUUCGAUUCAGUUUUAUCAGCCCGAGACCUGGGAUCUGUCCCUGAGCGUUAACCAGGGGACAGAAGUGGGAAGGGGGCCAAGCGAGGGGGAAGCUUGCAAUCCUGCCCUGCCACCAUCGCGGCCCUGCUUCACGAACGGGUCCCUGUCCCCUUCCCCUUAUGCUUCCAAGAUAAGCCUUCCCCCCUGUUCCCCAUUCCUUCUAAAUCAGUGUUCAGUUUUGAUUCCUGCUCUGGGGAGGAGUGACUCAGCACCCCCUGUGGAGAAAGGUCAGGCCCAGGGUCCAGGUGGAGGUCACCACCAGGAUGUCCCAGAGUCACUCCAAGGAAGUCUGGUGGCCUUUCAUUUGCCUCCUGUGGAACCCUGCCAGGAGAGCCCAUUUGAGCCAUUGAGACUUCACUGAGAAGAGCCUAAGGAGAAAGCCCAAGCUGGAGGAGGCACUUCCCUGUGGCGGCAGGAGGCCUGCUGGCGAUGUUGUUCUCCACACACCAUGUCUAUGCUUCCCCCUUGAAAUGCCUGGGCAGGGAGCACCUGGGUCAGUCAGUUAAGUGUCUGCCUUCGGCUCCGGUUGUGAUCCCGGGGUCCUGGUAUCAAGCCCUGCAUCGGGAGCUUUUUACAUCUGUAAACCAUCCAUACCAAGUUCCAGAAGGCUUCCAGCGCCCGGAAGAUUCCUCCAUGUCCCUCCCAGUCAGUGCUAUCCCCGGGGUCAUUGCUUUUCUGACCUGCCUCUGAACUUGAUGUAAAUGGAAUGGUCCCAGUGCACCUGGUUUCUUCCACUCAGCCCCGGGGGUUCAGUGAGAUUGUUUCCUGGAUCCGUGGCUCCCUUUUGUUGCUGAGAGCUGGUCCACAAUGUGUUUUUUCUCUUCCGAGUCAGUGUACAUUUAUGUUGUUUCCGGUUUGGGGCGAGGGUAAGGAAAGCUGUCGUGUGUUUUCACUUCUUUGCCAUAAAUAUCAGGAGGAGACUAACCAGGACAGAGGAGAGGUAGAUAUUUGACUUUAUGAUCAUCCAGCAAACACUUGUCCAAAGUUUACAUUCCAGUCUGCACGGACGAGAGUUACAGUUGUUCCCUGUGCGAUGAUCCCCAGUGAAACUGUCCCAGGGUCCAUGGCGCCUCUGCAAGGACUCCAAACACCUUCCCUUCCUUUCUUUUCCCUCUUUUCUGUUCCAACUACUGUCUGCCCCUUAAAUUUGGUCAAAUUCUGAUUGAUCCAGAUAUAGUGGGGGUUGAGGGUGGGCAGAGGGGACCCGUGGUCUCGGUCUAGGGGGCCACCUCUCAGAGACAUCAGUCUUUGCAAA
rnacentral:lncRNA from 1 species